rnacentral:rRNA from 1 species
CGGCGUGCUUAACACAUGCAAGUCGAACGGAAAGGCCCUGCUUUUGUGGGGUGCUCGAGUGGCGAACGGGUGAGUAACACGUGAGUAACCUGCCCUUGACUUUGGGAUAACUUCAGGAAACUGGGGCUAAUACCGGAUAGGAGCUCCUGCUGCAUGGUGGGGGUUGGAAAGUUUCGGCGGUUGGGGAUGGACUCGCGGCUUAUCAGCUUGUUGGUGGGGUAGUGGCUUACCAAGGCUUUGACGGGUAGCCGGCCUGAGAGGGUGACCGGCCACAUUGGGACUGAGAUACGGCCCAGGCUCCUACGGGAGGCAGCAGUGGGGAAUAUUGCACAAUGGGCGGAAGCCUGAUGCAGCAACGCCGCGUGCGGGAUGACGGCCUUCGGGUUGUAAACCGCUUUCGCCUGUGACGAAGCGUGAGUGACGGUAAUGGGUAAAGAAGCACCGGCUAACUACGUGCCAGCAGCCGCGGUGAUACGUAGGGUGCGAGCGUUGUCCGGAUUUAUUGGGCGUAAAGGGCUCGUAGGUGGUUGAUCGCGUCGGAAGUGUAAUCUUGGGGCUUAACCCUGAGCGUGCUUUCGAUACGGGUUGACUUGAGGAAGGUAGGGGAGAAUGGAAUUCCUGGUGGAGCGGUGGAAUGCGCAGAUAUCAGGAGGAACACCAGUGGCGAAGGCGGUUCUCUGGGCCUUUCCUGACGCUGAGGAGCGAAAGCGUGGGGAGCGAACAGGCUUAGAUACCCUGGUAGUCCACGCUGUAAACGGUGGGUACUAGGUGUGGGGUCCAUUCCACGGGUUCCGUGCCGUAGCUAACGCUUUAAGUACCCCGCCUGGGGAGUACGGCCGCAAGGCUAAAACUCAAAGGAAUUGACGGGGCCCCGCACAAGCGGCGGAGCAUGCGGAUUAAUUCGAUGCAACGCGUAGAACCUUACCUGGGUUUGACAUGGAUCGGGAGUGCUCAGAGAUGGGUGUGCCUCUUUUGGGGUCGGUUCACAGGUGGUGCAUGGCUGUCGUCAGCUCGUGUCGUGAGAUGUUGGGUUAAGUCCCGCAACGAGCGCAACCCUUGUUCACUGUUGCCAGCACGUUAUGGUGGGGACUCAGUGGAGACCGCCGGGGUCAACUCGGAGGAAGGUGGGGAUGACGUCAAGUCAUCAUGCCCCUUAUGUCCAGGGCUUCACGCAUGCUACAAUGGCUGGUACAGAGAGUGGCGAGCCUGUGAGGGUGAGCGAAUCUCGGAAAGCCGGUCUCAGCUCGGAUUGGGGUCUGCAACUCGACCUCAUGAAGUCGGAGUCGCUAGUAAUCGCAGAUCAGCAACGCUGCGGUGAAUACGUUCCCGGGGCUUGUACACACCGCCCGUCAAGUCAUGAAAGUUGGUAACACCCGAAGCCGGUGGCCUAACCGUUGUGGGGGAGCCGUCGAAGGUGGGACUGGUGAUUAGG